CAAUUCUUCUACCUCGAAUCCAUGCGACCACCAGCAGUGCUCUCCAGAGAUUCGAAUCGAGACUCGUCUCCGGCCACAUCUUGCUCUCCCUCGCCGUCUUCCACUGUCGCCGCCCCCUCCACCGGAACUCUAACCCUAGAAGAUCCGAAGGAUUCCAGCGUCGACGGCACGAUGGCUGGGUCCUUUUCCGUCGCGCGAAAGGAGACGCUUUUGGGGACCAUAUAUCGCAGGAUUUGAACUCUGGACCUCUUCAAAGAGCAAGCCAUUACCGAGAGGUGUCAACCAAUUGACCUAUGGCAAUAAACCUUUAUUUAUUGUUCGAACACUUCUUAACUAUAUGACCUGUAAAUUUCAUGCUCUUGCUUUUGUAAUAAAAGAACUGCAAUUGACUUAUGGCAAUAAACCUUUAUUUAUUGUUUGAACACUUCUUGACUAUAUGACCUGUAAAUUUCAUGCUGCUUUUGUAAUAAAAGAACUGCUUCUUCUUCUCCUCCUCCUCCUCCUUUCCUAGGAUUUGAGCCUUGGAUCACCUCCAUGGGCAAACACUUAAGGGAGAGGUGCCAACCAACUCAUCUAACAAUUGUUGGUGAUAAAACUUCAUUUAUUGAUUGAACUUUUUAACUA